GAUGAACGCUGGCGGCGUGCCUAAUACAUGCAAGUCGAGCGGACCAAAGAGAGCUUGCUCUCUGAGGUUAGCGGCGGACGGGUGAGUAACACGUGGGUAACCUGCCUGUAAGACGGGGAUAACUUCGGGAAACCGAAGCUAAUACCGGAUGAUAAAGAGAAACGCCUGUUUCUUUUUUGAAAGUCGGCCUUGUGCUGACGCUUACAGAUGGGCCCGCGGCGCAUUAGCUAGUUGGUGAGGUAACGGCUCACCAAGGCGACGAUGCGUAGCCGAGCGGACAGGGGUAUCGGCCAGACUGGGACUGAGACACGGCCCAGACUCCUACGGGAGGCAGCAGUAGGGAAUCUUCGGCAAUGGACGAAAGUCUGACCGAGCAACGCCGCGUGAGCGAUGAAGGCCUUCGGGUCGUAAAGCUCUGUUGUCAGAGAAGAACAAGUACCGGAGUAACUGCCGGUACCUUGACGGUACCUGACCAGAAAGCCACGGCUAACUACGUGCCAGCAGCCGCAGUAACAC
rnacentral:rRNA from 1 species